UUAGUUAAAACACACGUACUUUAUAUACAUACAAUUGUUAAAAGUGUAAUACUUCAUUGCAUUUCCAGAAGUAGUUGCUAGAAACUAAAUGCUCAUGAAAUCGCUAAAUCAUGCUUUGCCUAAUCAAACCAAUAAAUAACUGGAUUGCUUUUAGAAGUGAUUCUUCCAGUCUGAACAUAUUCUGGAGUUGCAUAGCCUACCGUACCUACAACCUGAGGAAUUGCUAAGUUAGGCAAUGCACAACGAGACAUUUGAAACAUUUGGUCUAAAACAUGUCAUAGACAUUUCUGCGGCUAUAUAUCAUUUAAGGGUAAAACGAAAAGUUUAAACUUAAAAUGUUUCUAAACAUAGAAAAUGUCUUUCUUUUUUGUGACUGAUGGACAACAUCAUACGAAGUGUAGAUCCGGUGAGGUCUGGGGAGGGGACACAAACCUUACCCUUUCUCAUAGAGAUAGAGAUGUUGUUUAUGAAGACCCCUGACUCAGGUUGUGAAAAUUAAAGAACAUCAAAAAAUAGAAAUAGGGAAGAAAAAGGAUACUUACUGAUGGUGACACAUGGGUUAGUCCUGUAGUUGGACCUUGCCUAACUAGUCCAAAGUGUGAUAGUUUUGCG
rnacentral:lncRNA from 1 species